rnacentral:rRNA from 1 species
GCAUCACCUGGUUAGUCUCAAAAAGCUAAACAAGGCUGGCCUAGGCUAGUCCUUGGAUGGGAAACCACCCGGAAAUUCCAAGGCUGCA